AAUAUCUCUUUCCAUCUCUCUCGAAUUACUUCCGCAUUUUUCUUCGAGAUGCUUCUUCUCACCUUCCAGUCUCUUCCAUCCCCCGCCUCCCUGUAAAAUUUCUUGUUAUGCUGCCUCUCUUUUCAUCCUCUCGUUUCUCUUUCUUUCCAUUCUCUCUCGAAUCACUCCUCCCAUUUCUUCGUCGGGAGAGAAUGAAUGUGAUAUCCAUUCCUUCUCUCUACUCCCUCUUCGAAGAAACCACAAUCUUCUUCUCCAUCUCGAUGUGCUAUCCAUUCCUUCCUCUCUCUCCUCCGCCUUUCGCGUUGACUGCUCUUAUAACUUGACCCAGGACGAGCUCUGCAUCAACAUAUCACUCUGUGACGCCGACGCCUUAAUCGUCAGGAGUGGCACAAAAGUAACUCGGGAAGUGUUCGAAUCGUCUGGUGGCUGCCUUAAGGUAAUAGAGCCAAUAAUAUUUAUAUUAGAAAACAACAACAGAGAAAAAAGACAAGAACAUAUCUAGACCAGAAGGAUCAAUCCUCACCGGUUUCAAUGCAUUCUGGUAUUCGCACCACUUUCUUGCCAUUGUCUACGUCUACAUAUUGCUUGUUGUUCACGGCACCUUUCUCUACCUCGUCCACAAAUGGUACCUCAAGACGGCGUGGAUGUAUCUAGCUGUUCCUGUUUUGCUUUAUGCGGGAGAGAGGACCCUACGAUUCUUCCGCUCUGGCUUUUACUCUGUUCGUCUACUGAAGGUUACCAUUUAUCCAGGUAAUGUUCUCGCUUUGCAAAUGUCCAAGCCUGCCCAAUUCCAGUAUAGAAAGUGGCCAGUACAUGUUCGUCCAAUGCCCGGGUGUGUCUCCAUUUGAGUGAUAUUCAGGCACCCGUUUUCAAUUACAUCAGCUCCUGAUGAUGAUUACUUGAACAUCCACAUCCGACGGCUAGGUGACUGGACAAAAGAGAUCAAGAGGGUAUUUUCAGAAGUUUGUGAGCCACUGUUGCUGGGAGAAGUGGGCUUCUUAGAGCAGAUGAAACAACCAAGAAAAAGUAUAUAACAUAUUCUAACCUGCAUUGAAUUCAGUAUCUUCUGUGACAUUAUGGUCUUUGUGACAAGUUAGGGAUGAUUGACAUCCCCCUCUUUUUUUUUGUAUGGUCACCCUAAUCUAUAUAAACAAAAUCUAGUGCCUCCAGCCAGAACUUUUGGCUUUCUCAA